GAGAAUGGUGAUUCUAAAAGUAAGGAAGAAGACACUCCGGUUGAGUGGAAAAUAUCAACACUAUGAAUCAAUGCUUCAUUUCAUUUGACUUUUGUAGUCAUAAUGUAAUUGGGGGUCAUUGAUUUUCUUGCAUUCAGUGGAGUUUGCAAGUCAUUAGUUGUUGAUUUUCUAUAAUUCAGCGGAGUUUGCAAGUCAUGAGUUGUUGAUUUUCUUGCGUUCAGCGGAGUUUGCAAGUCAUGAGUUGUUAGUUUUUCUUUUAUUUAGUAGAGUUUGCACGUCACAAGUUGUUAUUUUUUAUAUUCAGUGGUGUGUGCAAGACAUGAGUUUUUGGUUUUUUUUAUUCGGCAGAGUUUGCAAGUCAUAAAUUGUUGUUUUU
rnacentral:lncRNA from 1 species